rnacentral:rRNA from 1 species
AUUGAACGCUGUCGGCAGGCUUAACACAUGCAAGUCGAGCGAGCGGCGGACGGGUGAGUAAUGUCUGGGAAACUGCCUGAUGGAGGGGGAUAACUACUGGAAACGGUAGCUAAUACCGCAUACCAUCCGAUUUGCCCAGAUGGGAUUAGCUAGUAGGUGGGUAAUGGCAAACCUAGGGGAAGAUCCCUAGCUGGGCUGAGGGGGUGACCAGCCACACUGGAACUGAGACACGGUCCAGACUCCUACGGGAGGCAGCAGUGGUGAAUAUUGCACAAUGGGCGCAAGCCUGAUGCAGCCAUGCCGCGUGUAUGAAGAAGGCCUUCGGGUUGUAAAGUACUUUCAGCCGGGAGGCGUUACCGACAGAAGAAGCACCGGCUAACUCCGUGCCAGCCGCCGCGGUAAUUC